GUCCCUUUGGGACAUCCAAUAAAAUUGGAAUGAUAGAGAGAAGAUUAGCAUGGCCCUUCACAAGGAUGGCACGCAUAAAUCGAAAAAUGAUCCAAUUUUUU